rnacentral:rRNA from 1 species
AUUGAACGCUGGCGGAAUGCUUUACACAUGCAAGUCGAGCGGCAGCGCGGGGGCAACCCUGGCGGCGAGCGGCGAACGGGUGAGUAACAUAUCGGAACGUACCCCGUCGUGGGGGAUAACACAGCGAAAGCUGUGCUAAUACCGCAUACGACCUGAGGGUGAAAGCGGGGGAUCGCAAGACCUCGCGCGAUGGGAGCGGCCGAUAUCGGAUUAGCUUGUUGGUGAGGUAAAGGCUCACCAAGGCGACGAUCCGUAGCUGGUCUGAGAGGACGACCAGCCACACUGGAACUGAGACACGGUCCAGACUCCUACGGGAGGCAGCAGUGGGGAAUUUUGGACAAUGGGGGCAACCCUGAUCCAGCCAUUCCGCGUGAGUGAAGAAGACCUUCGGGUUGUAAAGCUCUUUCAGCAGGAACGAAACGGUGGCCACUAAUACUGGCUACUAGUGACGGUACCUGAAGAAGAAGCACCGGCUAACUACGUGCCAGCCGCCGCAGUAAGAC